AACGCACAUUGCGCCCAUUAGUAUUCUAGUGGGCAUGCCUGUUCGAGCGUCAUUUCAACCCUUAAGCCUAGCUUAGUGUUGGGAGUCUACUGUGUGGUAGCUUGCUAUCCUGUAGUUCCUAAAAUGAAACGGCGGAUCUGCAGUAUCCUCUGAGUGUAGUAAAUUUUUAUCUCGCUUUUGUUAGGUGCUGUGGCUCUUGCCGCUAAACCCCCCAAUUUUUAAUGGUUGACCUCGGAUCAGGUAGGAAUACCCGCUGAACUUAA
rnacentral:misc_RNA from 1 species